rnacentral:tRNA from 1 species
GGAGUACUCUGGUAGACCGCUAGGUAUUCUAAACCUGUACGCAUGAGGGGUUCAAUUCCCUUCCAACUCCA